rnacentral:rRNA from 1 species
AGUGAACGCUGGCGGUAGGCCUAACACAUGCAAGUCGAACGGCAGCACAGAGGAGCUUGCUCCUUGGGUGGCGAGUGGCGGACGGGUGAGGAAUACAUCGGAAUCUACUCUGUCGUGGGGGAUAACGUAGGGAAACUUACGCUAAUACCGCAUACGACCUACGGGUGAAAGCAGGGGACCUUCGGGCCUUGCGCGAUUGAAUGAGCCGAGUUAGGAUUAGCUAGUUGGCGGGGUAAAGGCCCACCAAGGCGACGAUCCGUAGCUGGUCUGAGAGGAUGAUCAGCCACACUGGAACUGAGACACGGUCCAGACUCCUACGGGAGGCAGCAGUGGGGAAUAUUGGACAAUGGGCGCAAGCCUGAUCCAGCCAUACCGCGUGGGUGAAGAAGGCCUUCGGGUUGUAAAGCCCUUUUGUUGGGAAAGAAAUCCAGCUGGCUAAUACCCGGUUGGGAUGACGGUACCCAAAGAAUAAGCACCGGCUAACUUCGUGCCAGCCGCCGCGGUAA